ensembl:rRNA 5S_rRNA 5S ribosomal RNA
AUCUACAACCAUAUCACCUCAAAUGCACCUGAUCUCAUUUGAUCUUGUGAAGGUAAGCAGGGCCCAGCCUGGUUAGUACUUGGAUGGGAGACCCUCUGGGAAUAUUGGAAGCUGUAGGCU